AUCAACGGAUACGUCUCUGAGACGUCUCCCAUCUCUGACCAAACCCGUCCCCCUUAAGCCAUGCCGUCCCGGGUUCACCUUACAUGUGUCGGGGACGUUUCCUAGGCGUACCCGAGACGUACCCGUCCCCCUGCCGAACCCGGUACGCGAGACGGCACCCGUGAGGCGUACCCGUGCAACCUAGGUCAACCUUUUCUUUAGUGGGUAAUGUUUAAUACUCGAGAUUGGUUUCAUAGGAAUUCAUGUUUAGUUAUGGCUCAGAGGGAGCUACUUUGGGUGGAUUUACAUAUUACUUAAACCUCUUUUUGGUAGUCAGGCUACUGAUUGUGUCUCCAUCAUGUCUAAUAGGACCCAAAAGAGAAAGCAAAGUCAGAAACAAGAGAUUGGUUGAACAAUGUGGUGAGUGAACUCGAGCUAUGGAUGGUGUUUGUUCUGCUCUGUACACUGAUGAAGAAUUGAGGCUGAGAUAUGCUAUAAGGUUUGUUUGUAAAAUCCUACCAAUAAUCUAUAAUUUUUGGAUUGUC